CAGCAACACAUCUGUCUGCACGCCUUCAUGCUCUCCUGCAUGAUCAUAAUGGACUGACCUCUGAAAGUACAGGCCAGCCGCUGGCCCCACCCCAUUUCCUCCAAGAAGAAUGGUGGGCACUGAAGAAACUCCGCCCACAAAAGUGUCAAUGCUGGCCACUGACCAAUCCUGCCCUUCGCCUCAACUGCUGCAAAGGACUCUACAGUGGACAAGAGGACAAUGGAAUCGAUUUUUCUCCACGUUUCUUGGGUCAGGGGUAGUGAAGUCCUCCUAAAAAGUACCCAAUCUACCGGUCCCAUGCUUUCAUCAGAAGGCAGGUGUCCUUAAAAGCCUCUGACUUCAACAACUGUGGAGGACCCUGGGCGUGGCUGUGCAUGCAGCCAGAUGGCUUCUUGUAAGUUCCAGGGAGCAGAACUGGGCCCAUCCAAACAGGUCUAAGAGGUGCCAGAGAGUUCCGUAGAGCCUGGACUGUGAUGGAGCAACCAGCUACGCCAGGAUGUGGCAACACCGCAGCUUUCUCAGGUCCCCAAAGAUGGCCAACGCCCCCCAGGUCGGCAGGAAGCAGUGUUAAGAACUCGAUGUCCUUAUUCCUAACCUACCAUGCCUAACACCCCACCUCCUCUUACUGAUUGGUAAAGGUAGGAAUGAAAGGUUCAGGCAUUACUCUGGCCUGCCCAGUUACCUGGCAGAAUGCACUCAGGCAGCACUCUGGCCAGCUCAGAGUUCCAUGAGAACCAGUCUGCAUUCAGGUGCAAAGGACCCCUUUAAAGGACAGAGCCCUGCCCACUUACACUCUUAUCUGCCACUCCCCUCUUAUCUCACUCUCCUUCUGCUCUGUUCUUACCCCAUUCAUCUCUUUCAAGUCUGUCAUUCCUCCUUCUCGCUCUCCCUCCGCUACAAUAAAACAUUGGCUUGUACACUCCAUGGCUUGUGCUGAAGCUUCUGUUUCGUGCUCAUCCUUCUGUUUCUCCUUCUGCCCCUUCUAAUUUCUAACUUCUAACUUCUAAUCUUAAGCAAAAUAACAACACUCUGCACCUGUGUGCUGACUAGUAGUCCUGGAACCCUGGGUUGACCAGGGUACUGCUUGAGGGCAUUUUGCCAGGUGACAGUGGCAGGCCGGCAUAAUACCUGAAUCCUUAGAUACACAACAAGAAGGAGCUGGGUUGGAUGCUGGAGAGACAGCUCAGGGGUCCUUCCAAAGAGCUGGGGUUUGCUUCCCAACAUCCACAUGCCUGCUCAUAACCAUCUGUAACAUCAGUUCCAGAGGCAUCAACACCCUUUUCUGGCCUUGAUGAGUACCAGGCUGCACUCAUAUAAUAAACAGACAUACAUGCAAGUGAAACACCCUUACAUGUCAUCAUCGUUACUUUUUGUGUGGCUGUAAUAAAACACCAUGAUCAACGUGAUUCAUUGAAGAACAAGUUUGUUUGGGCUUAUGGUUACAGAAGGAUAAGAGUCCAUUAUAGGGAGAAGCACAUAGCAGGCAUGGCGGUAGGAACAGGAAGCAAUAGCUUACGUCUUGAACUGCGUGCACGAAGCAGACUGUGUGAACUGGGAGUAAAGAGACUUUGAGUUCUCAAGGCCCACCUGCAGGGACUAUUUCCUCCAGCAGGAUGACACCUCUGAAACCUCAAACAGUGCCACCAGCUUGGGACCAAGUAUUCCAAUACAUGAGACCAUAGGAGACAUUCUCAUCCAAAUCGCCACACACACAAAAUCAAAAUGAAAACAUAAAAAAGACUUGGGUAACUGUCUAAGGGUUAUGAUAAAACACCAUGACCAUCAUUGAAGGGCCUCAGGACAGGAACUCAGACAGGACAUGACCUGGAGGCAAGAGCAGAUGCAGAAGUGAGGGGGGGGUGUUUCUUACUGGCUUGUUCCUUGUGACUUGCUCAGCCUGCUUUCUUAUAGAGCUGAGGACCACCAGACCAAGGGUGGACAAUGGGCUGGGCCCUCUCACAUCAGUCACCAGUUAGGAUCGUAUGCAGGCAUCUUCUCAGUUGAAGUUCCCUUAUUUCAGAUGACUGUAGUUUGUGUCAAGUUGUCAUAAGACCAGCCAACAGAGUAACCACCUGUGUUGAAACCACAUGUGAAUGCAAAUAAGAGAGAGAGAGUUAGGAGCAAGUCAAAUCCUACUUCAGGGAAAAAACAAAGGGAGGGGAUUUUGCUUUUGUUUUCUAUGUACAUCCAAUCCUGUGCAUGUGAGAGCUUUCUGAGUAGACAAACCCAUAGCUUUUCUCUAUGGAUGGUGAAAUUAGUGGAGGUAAUUCACAAAAUUGUCCCGCUUUCCUUACUCUGGUAACCAUUUGUCACUUACUAUUGAUCUCUGGGUUGAGAUGGUAGCUUACUGACAGCGAGCAUACUUAGCAGACACAAGGUCUGUAGGCUCAGCCAGGCCCUUCCCCUGCCCACACACCAUUCAGUUUUGUUUUGACAUUUAGGGUGAGCAGACUUUAAGACUGUUGAGGCUUUAAGAACUUCAGGAAGGAUGAGAAGAAGCUGCAUCAUGGCUUUAAGUUUUGAAGAGCUAUGCUUGGGCUAUUAUAGUUAGAGGUCUAUUGGGAGGUUUCUAUUUAGUGUGCUAUAGUUGCCUUCUGCUUAUUUGCUUCCAUUGUGCACGUUAUAAAGUGUACACAUACAAGAAAGUCAUGGAAAAGUAUUACUCUAAAAGUGUUUGCUUUUAUCAGGAUUUUGACUUCUUAGGGUGCAUAUGUCUUAGAUGAACGAGGAAAAUCAAAUUUCAGUGAAUGUUAGUAAUGUUCUAAUACAAAAAGUAGAGUAAAAAAUCAACCGAAAGGCAUGUUAUUUGUUUUCUACUCUGUAACAAAUCAUCCAAACAAAUAUUACAGUUAGAAAGAACAGGAGUUGCUCAGUGUGUGUCCGUCUGCGUCCAGCCACAGCUUGGCUGGGUCCUGCUCAGCUGUCACAGCAAAGAGGCUGCUGUGCAGAGCUGCAGCCUCAAGGAAGGCUGACUCUCUGCCUGCACAAGUCACUGGUGAGUUGGCAGGGUUUGGUGCCUUGGACCUGAUGGCCUGAUUCUGGUUACUCUUCCUGUGGCUUUCUUUACAGCAUAGUAGUUAGCUUCGUUGGGCCCAUAGAAGAGUGCUGUUAUGCUGGGUGUGUUUUAAACCUUAUUUGAUGGACCCUGUCUUUUCUUUUGAUGGACUCAAGCCAUUUAUUAAAGACCUGAAUUAUG